rnacentral:rRNA from 1 species
AGUGAACGCUGGCGGCAGGCCUAACACAUGCAAGUCGAACGGCAGCACAGGGGAGCUUGCUCCCUGGGUGGCGAGUGGCGGACGGGUGAGGAAUACAUCGGAAUCUGCCUAUUUGUGGGGGAUAACGUAGGGAAACUUACGCUAAUACCGCAUACGGCCUACGGGUGAAAGCGGAGGACCUUCGGGCUUCGCGCAGAUAGAUGAGCCGAUGUCGGAUUAGCUAGUUGGCGGGGUAAUGGCCCACCAAGGCGACGAUCCGUAGCUGGUCUGAGAGGAUGAUCAGCCACACUGGAACUGAGACACGGUCCAGACUCCUACGGGAGGCAGCAGUGGGGAAUAUUGGACAAUGGGCGCAGGCCUGAUCCAGCCAUGCCGCGUGGGUGAAGAAGGCCUUCGGGUUGUAAAGCCCUUUUGUUGGGAAAGAAAAGCAGCCGGUUAAUACCCGGUUGUUCUGACGGUACCCAAAGAAUAAGCACCGGCUAACUUGCGUGCCAGCAGCCGCGGUAAUAC